rnacentral:lncRNA from 1 species
AUGCCACUGUCAAUCUCCUUGAUGAUGAGGAGAUUCUUGCGGCUGCUACAGGAAGACAAUGCUUUAACAGGAAACCUUGGAGCUGCCAGUAGCAACUCCGUUCAGCCUGCCCUGCCAUCUCAACCCAAGGCCACUGAGAAGCUUCCAGGGCUCAAACAAAACAGUUUUAACACCUCCAGAAUCACAGUACUGGAGUUGACUGAAUUAAGAAAGGGUGCUCUGCAGCGACUUGCCAGUUUGAAGGCUGUGGAAAAGAAACCACAUCCUCCCUCCAGAAUCCCAGUACUGCAGAAAAAGAGGUCCAUCUGCAAUAGGAGGAGUCAAGGACUGCAUGUAGCUCCAACAUCUCAGCAGUCAGGAAAGGCUACUGUUCCUCCCAUCCAUAUUCCACUGCAACCCAUCCGUACCAAGAGGGAUCAAACCUGCGUGGUGAAAGACAUCUACCUCCAUAGUGCCAAGCCAUUGAACGCAGUCCAUGGAGCCAACAUGGUCACCAAGAUGCCACUGCCUCCCAUUAGAGCCAGAGUCACUGUGCCAAACAAUGACGCCAAGAAGAAGCCAUUCCAGCCAGUCAGACCAGAGGGCAGCCCUCGUCCUGCUGCUUCAAAGUACAGAAGGCAGGUUGUGAAGAAACACGUUCAGUUCAAGACUCAGACCCUAACUGUACAGGAUCUACCGCCAUGCCCCAGUGAGAUGGUAUGGGACGUCUUUAACUCUGAGGCUGAGCAGGUGAUGGCAUAUAUGAAGGCCAAGCUGAUCAGUGUCACCCAAGAAUUGAAACUGAUUAAGAGUGGGGCCAAGAUAGAUGCUCAGGCUUUAGAGGAGAAAAACGCAAAAGAGCGGUUGAGAAAAAAGGUGGAGAAGUUCAUCCAGGAGAUUUGCCUGAUGAAGGUGGAUUCUGACCUAUGGGAGAUGAUAAGAGAUAACGAAGAAGAGGAAGAAAGGAGUAAAGAGGUGAGGAGAAAUGAAGAACAAAGCAGUGUGGCAAGUAAGCCAAAACAGACAGCCAUGAGAUAUACUGUGAUCAAGCCAAAGGAAGUCAAAAAGGGUUUGAACAUGGAAGAGAAAAAGGAGGACAGACAGGUAAAGUAG